rnacentral:rRNA from 1 species
GACGAACCGUGCAAACGUUGUUCGGAAUCACUGGGCAUAAAGGGCGCGUAGGCGGUCGGUCAAGUCUGGGGUGAAAUCUUUCGGCUCAACCGGAAAAGUGCCCCGGAUACGGAUCGGCUCGAGGGCGUGAGGGGUCACUGGAACUCCUGGUGAAGCGGUGAAAUGCGUAGAUAUCAGGAGGAACGCCGGAGGCGAAAGCGAGUGACUGGCGCGUUCCUGACGCUGGAGGUGCGAAAGCUAGGGGAGCAAACAGG